ensembl:lncRNA
GGAAAACAAGGAAAGACAGCACAGCGAGAUGAAGACGUCAAAGACGCAGGAGCAGGUACUUUUAUAACCUGUGUGCGUGGAUUCACUCCUGUGGUUCUCAGAAUGCCCUUGUCACGGAAGCACUACUUCUGGUCCCAUCUGACAAAGGAGAAAAUUGGUCUGGUCAAGUAGCUUGUCAAAGUCACAGAGUGAGUAAGCGACAGACCCAGUCUUUGAAGCCAGACAACACGGCUGCGGCUUCCCCACGCCCCACAUCAAGACAACUCAGUUUAUUCCAUUUCAUUCGCCCGCUCUCUCCCCGCUGCUUAGCAGCCAACAGAGACCCGCAAGGUCUGUUUUGCCUGCUGUAGUAAACUCUGCUGCCACUAGGGGGCGAUGCUGCCCACGAUGGUCUCAGCCACCACCGUAUUCAGCGCAAAUCCUGGGAGACUGUGGCUCUGUUCAGCUGGACUCUUCCUGUGCAAAUGGAAGGCCAAGUGCAGGAGAGAGAUUGCUCACUGGGCAAGGGUGUGAAAGGACAGCCUCUCAGGGCCACAAGGAGGAUAUAGGCUCUAGGAUUGACGGCUGGGUUCUCACAGCCUCCCAUGCUGCCUGGCAAAAAAAAAAAAAAAAAAAAAAAAAAAAAAAAAAAAAAAAAGGCAGCCAGGCCCGUGUUCAGGUACCUAAACUUUUCCAAGCCUGAGCUUCAUUAUCUGGAAGUGGAAACAGCCAUCCGCCAGCUUGCCGGCAGUUAAAAUCACCACAUCUCCACCCUGUCUGGAAGCGGCUGCUGCAUCUUGAGCAAGCCAUGCGGGGACCACUGCGCAUCUGUCUUCCCAGCAGUCUCCUGGGCGCCUCCACAGAGCAGAAAGCCGAAGCCUGUACAGGCUCAGCCCGCCAGGAGGCAACGGAGCUUGGAGGAGGAGGACAGCUCGUGUCUGUCCACGGCGGAAACGGGCCCACGUUGUUUGGAGCUGGAGCAGAAGCAGGCAAGGGGGAUCAGCCACGUGGAUGGUCACGCCUCAGCCUGAAACCUGGUGAGGAGUGCUCGUGUCUGUGCCAGAAGCUACAGCGAGAGAGGAGGAAGGCAAGGCCCGGCGUGGCCCCGUGCUUGUCCACCUACUGGGGCCUGGGUGUGACACAGACCGGGGCCGAGGCACAUCCAGCGGCCCCCCGGCAUCCUGAAGUGACAGAGCUGCACCAGGUCUUGGGACACAGAGGAAAGGAAGGCGGCAGGUCCUGUGUGCCUCACGAGACGGAGGGAGGGCAACCUCGGAAGGGGGCCUGGACCCCAAGAAGGCAGAAAGGCAGUAGGGUGGGUGGACGAGCGCUGCUAGCCCAGAGAGCCAGCAGGGUGGCGCUAGGAUGGUCACCAGCAUCGGCUGAAAAACAGGUGAACUCACCAAGCAUUUUGUAGUCAGGCUCAGCGCCCAACUCAGUGAAAACCUGCAAAGUCCCACUGGAGGCUGGUCUACACUGGGAGCUUCCACCUUUAGCUACCGUAACAGGGGGUUUUCUUUUCUUUUUUUUUUUUUUAGGGCCACACCUGUGGCAUACGGAAGUUCCCAAAUCCACCUACAGCUGCCAGCCUGUGCCACAGCCACAGCAACACAGGAUCUGAGCUGUGCCUGCUGCCUACACCAUAGCUCAUGGCAAUGCCGGAUCCUUAACCCACUGAGCGAGGCCAGGGAUUGACCCUGCAUCCUCCUGGAUACUAGUUGGGUUCUUAACCCACUGAGCCACAGCAGGAACUCCCUAACAGGGGAUUUCUAUCAACACUAGAAAUCUAUUAGCAACUAUAAUCAAUACACGCAUUACUAUUAAAUUCUUAAAUGAAUACAAUUUUCAAAAGUCUCUGGGCAGAAAUCAAACUAUAUUCCUGAAGGCAAAACACGUAAGAAUUUUUAACUGAAUCCGCAGUUAUCCAUUAACGAUCCAUAAGCUACCCCUUCAAACUCCCCAGUAAACACACACACAGGCACACCCAGAAAUGCACACACAUAUGGGUCCACACCCGCAGGUGCACUUCCACCAACACCACAGACAAAUGCCUGCCUCACUGAGGCUUACCAAGCUUAUAACUUUAUUAUACUCUGAAUAGAGAUGAUAUUUAAAGAGCAGAGCACAUGACUAUACAAAGGAUUUAUAGAACAUUCAUUUACAUACUGGAUAUAUUCUUUACAAUAUAAGAAAAGUAAAAAUAUCCACUACUGGGUAAGGCAGAUAAGGAGACGUGAUGAGGUCUCUGCUGCUGAAGAUACACACGGGGGCCCUUAAACGCGGUGACAUAACACGGUUACAGGUUAACAAUGCAGGAACACAGCGUGGGUUAAUGAGCAGGUUAACAGGACCCUGGCUAUGACACUUGAAGGGCGCAGUCCUCGCGCACGCCCCGGGAGAGUACCCCUGUGCCCAGAUGCCUGAGGAUGCCCCUCCCCCGAGUGCCCCGGAGCCAAUGUUAGGGGUGGGGCUUGGCCAAGGUCUGAGCAUGAAGUUCAUGGACUCACCUUGUUCCAUUCAAUGCACAUGUAACACCUUGUUGUACCAGCUCCUCAGAAACUAGGGAAUUGGCUCCUCAGUGGGAGCUAUUUGCUGGAAGGCACCUUCCUGAUGCCCUUGACCACUAAGAGUGAGAGUCUCAGCUGCCGGUCAGUUUAAACAGCCAAUGUCUCGGCUUAAAUGCUCUGCAGGACGGCUGGGGGCGGCCCUGACACCCUCUGUGAUUUGGGCAGCUUAUGCCUCUCCAUCCCGCAUCCUCUCUGGCUCCUAUUUCUACACAAGCCUUUUCUUCCUUCAUUGGAAGGAUGAGGGACCUGGCCUGUGGUCUUUGGGUCAAAGUUGGGUACCAGCAUCUCAGGAGCAGGCGCCCCUUGGGGACAGCGCAAUCCUCCGCUCCCCUGGCCGCGUUCCUGCCAUGAAUGAAAAACGGAAAUGUUAGAUGCCCCCAGCACGGGGGACCAAGGCAGCAGGCUUCUGGAAGAUACUGGCACAUUCUCCUAAACAGCCGCGCUGCCACAUGUCAGGAAAGGUCCGCAAAGACCAAGGCAAACAUUUGGCACAGAAAUGAGGCACUUGCAUUUGGUGCAUCAAUACAGGCUAAACGGUGGACCCAUCCACCGGCUUUCACACACACACACACGCACACACACUCACUCGCACUCACGGACAAUGCCCACGGCGAUUCGGAUGACCCCCCUCUGCUGUCACUGCGUCUGUCUCUGCCCUACUUUAAGGCAGAGAAUCCACAAAGCCCACUUUCCCCAGCAGUGACCGUGACAGUGAUUCCAGAGAGCUGGUACUUGCUUUGGGAAGCGGAGGAGAAUGGGUGGUUGGGGGGGAGGCGGCCGUGGCGCGAGUGUCCGGGGUGACCGGGGAGGAGACGGCGCUUUAUGAAGAUGCCGCCCAGUCCUGCCUCUCACUCCGGGGGACGUGCAGGACCAGAGCUUCUCCCAACCUCUGACCACCGCGCUGCGACGCAUCACCGCGCAUAAACAGGGCUACGGGGGUGCAGAAGAGCUGCUCUCAAAAACGGCUCCUUGUCUUCCUCCCCUGCUCAGGGGCCAGGACACACAAGAUGCCAACAGGAACCAAAGGCAGGGCUGAGGCAGACAGGGCAGCAGUUCUCUGGGCAACCUCUCGCCAGCCCUGAGGAUGCUGAGGAGGGCUGGGCCUAAAGUUAAGCAGGUGGAUCCGCAGCCUGGAAAGGACGCGUCGGUGCUCGAGACCCUGGGCAGGCUGCUGCUGGAGGCAAAGCCAGCACGACCCACAGAACCUCCUCCUGCAUCCGACAGAGACGGUCCUUCCAGAACCCGGCCCGGCAGGCGGCAGCAUGCGGGCUCCAGGACAGCAUGGCAAUGGCAAACUGGUGUUAGCAUUAAAUAAUUUGGCCUAAAUAAAAUAUAAAUUCCA